rnacentral:rRNA from 1 species
AGUGAACGCUGGCGAUAGGCCUAACACAUGCAAGUCGAACGGCAGCACAGUAAGAGCUUGCUCUUACGGGUGGCGAGUGGCGGACGGGUGAGAAAUACAUCGGAAUCUACUUUUUCGUGGGGGAUAACGUAGGGAAACUUACGCUAAUACCGCAUACGACCUACGGGUGAAAGCAGGGGAUCUUCGGACCUUGCGCGAUUGAAUGAGCCGAUGUCGGAUUAGCUAGUUGGCGGGGUAAAGGCCCACCAAGGCGACGAUCCGUAGCUGGUCUGAGAGGAUGAUCAGCCACACUGGAACUGAGACACGGUCCAGACUCCUACGGGAGGCAGCAGUGGGGAAUAUUGGACAAAGGGCGCAAGCCUGAUCCAGCCAUACCGCGUGGGUGAAGAAGGCCUUCGGGUUGUAAAGCCCUUUUGUUGGGAAAGAAAAGCAGCAGGUUAAUACCCCGCUGUUCUGACGGUACCCAAAGAAUAAGCACCGGCUAACUUCGUG